AUAUAUAGAGAGAGAGAGAGAUACAUAUAUAUAUAUAUAUAUAAAUACAAUAAGCAGCCACACUAUAACCUGUAAUAUUUCUACGGUCCGGUAAUGAUGUAUUCUCUGUGCCAAGGCUAGCGCUAGGGUGGACUGAGGUUCCUACAGUCAUAGAGCUUGACUUUAGUUCUGUGGGGGUCUUUGUGACACUUUAUUCUUUUGUCUGUCGUCUGUGGGGGUCUUUGUUCUUUUGUCUGUGGUCUGUGGGGGUCUUUGUUCUUUUGUCUGUCGUCUGUACAGCUCAUGUGUUGAUUGUUGUUCCUUGUGGUCAUUGGCAUGUUGGAUGGUUGUUGUGGGUGGCUGGCGGGUGCUCUGGUGUGGUCUGCUCCUUCUGUCUCAUCCAAUAUACCGGACCGGUAUUGUCGUUAUCUUUGACUCUCGUCCUUUUUUUUUUUUGUAUGUCACAACUCUCUCUAGUUGGAAGAACACCCUUAAUUCUUUGUAUUUAUAUAAUAUUUGUAUUGCAAUUGCUGUAAAAUUCUUACUUAAACUUGAAAAAAAUAAUUUUUGGAAAGAACUGAAUUGUUGUUAGCUGAAACCUUUUCAAUCUUUACCUGACUCGGCUCAAAAAUGUUUCCUUUUUUUUUUUUUUCUGGCUUAAUUUGGAAAUUUGUCAGUACUUCAAUAGGGAGCGCUGCGUGAGACUGGUGGGUCAAGAGUCAGUUGGAGUUUGGUUUCCGUCUGAUUUGGGCCUUAAUUGUAGCGCUCAGAAUACGUUUUCUGUCGACGAUGUCACUUUUCUUCGAGUCGGAGAAAGUUUUUUAUCAUGGGAUUUGGAUUUUUUUUCCUAACUAUUGGAAUUUUUUUCUAUAACCUGAGGUGGAAAAAUGGAGUCUUUGUCUUCUCUUUUCUUCUCUGGAAACAGAUCGUUAGAAUGCUCUUUUUGUCUGUACCACUGUGUGUUCCGCGCUGGAAACGUUCCGAACUUGAAGCUUUUCUCUUGCUGUGGUGGUCUGUGCCCUGGCCAGGUUUGCCUUGUAAAGAAGACAUUCUCCUUCCUGUGUGGUUGAGUCAACAUUCCACGAGUGGAUUUCCUGACAAAGUUAUUCUUUGAACUGAGGUGCCAUAAAUCUCAUUUGUGUGAGAUCAUUUUUCUCUUUCCAACCUCCUGUCCUGUUUCCGUGGACACAAAUCUGUGUCUUGACCAGUCUCCUGUUUUCACCAUGUUGUCAACAAUGCUGGAUAAAUCCUUGCCCUCAUUCCGAUCCACAUACUGGUGUGUCAAAAUGUGAAGAGUGCUGACAAAAGGAGUUACUUCUCGGAUUCAAGUCUUAAAGAAAUAGAUACAUCACGCUUAUAGGUGAAGUUUUUACAAUGUAUAAGUAUGAAAUAAUAAAAGGAAUGUUAUACGUAAAGAAUAUAGAGCAUCAAAAGAAAACGUACAAAUUGGACCCUUGUGUCGAUCUUUGGUCGCUAUCUCCAUUUGUGGAUUGUGAGAAGUGACUCAUUUUGUCAGCAUGCCUCACAAUUAUGUUGAAAAUAUGAAAAUGAAAUGUCAGAACAGUUGUAGAGUUUGAUGGGGCACUUUGUUGGGGCCUAGUCCGCCACUCCCCUCUCAGAACAGUGACAGAUCUAGAUGAGCUUACGUUUUUGUAUGGAGAUUUUGUACUGCAGAAAUAAAGCAGGGUUUUUUUGUUUUGUUUUUUUGUUUUUCUUUUGUUUCUCCUGCAAAAUGUGUAUUUUGGCAUUCAACAUUGAGGAGUCCCGGUGUUGAAACGUCCGCCCAGAAUUGAGCCUUUAGUGACCCCCUCCUGAGUAGAAACUCACUCCACUGUUUGUCCGUUGUGUGUGGGCGUGGAAGGGGAAGUUUGUCCGUUUGUCCCACCAAAGUGUGUGGGCGUGGAAGGGGAAGUUUGUCCCACCAAAGUGUGUGGGCGUGGAAGGGGAAGUUUGUCCCACCAAAGUGUGUGGGCGUGGAAGGGGAAGUUUGUCCCACCAAAGUGUGUGGGCGUGGAAGGGGAAGUUUGUCCACCAAAGUCGGACAUUUUUUAAUUGUUCCUCACUGAGUUCUCCUUGGACAAUUGCCUGUAAAGAAAAGUAGACUGUGGAAAUUAUUGUUGGUGAAGUGGAGAACAUUGGAUUUGUUUGCACUUUUUUCACCAAAGUUCAAUUUCACACAAAAAAAGAUGAUUUUUGGUUGUUUUUUCUUAUAAACUGUUCUUGAACAUUCUACAUCUAGAUCCAUGCCCCCAAAAAUGCUUUUUUCCCAAAUCUUUUUGUGAACACAGUUACGUGGUUUUAGGAGUCGGAUCAUUUCUGUUUGUUGAGGGGCUGUGGGGAAAAGUCCAUGCCAGUAACAGGAAGACAGAUAAACUACAUGUGUACAUGUCACACACUUGUCCUAGGUCACACAGAUAAACUACAAGUGUACAUGUCACACACUUGUCCUAGGUCACACAGAUAACCUACGUGUGUACAUGUCACACACUUGUCCUAGGUCACACAGAUAACCUACGUAUGUACAUGUCACACACUUGUCCUAGGUCACACAGAUAACCUACGUGUGUACAUGCCACACACUUGUCCUAGGUCACACAGAUAACCUACAUGUCACACACUUGUCCUAGGUCACACAGAUAGCCUACAUGUGUACAUGUCACACACUUGUCCUAGGUCACACACUUGUCCUAGGUCACACAGAUAAACUACGUGUGUACAUGUCACACACUUGUCCUAGGUCACACACUUGUCCUAGGUCACACAGAUAACCUACAUGUCACACACUUGUCCUAGGUCACACAGAUAACCUACAUGCCACACACUUGUCCUAGGUCACACAGAUAACCUACAUGUCACACACUUGUCCUAGGUCACACAGAUAGCCUACAUGUGUACAUGUCACACACUUGUCCUAGGUCACACACUUGUCCUAGGUCACACAGAUAAACUACGUGUGUACAUGUCACACACUUGUCCUAGGUCACACACUUGUCCUAGGUCACACAGAUAACUACGUGUGUACAUGUCACACACUUGUCCUAGGUCACACAGAUAACCUACGUAUGUACAUGUCACACACUUGUCCUAGGUCACACUGGGUCAAGCCUGUAACUGUAGCGACUUCUGUAGUCGAAAUGAGAAAUAUCUGGAAACCGCUUCUCUGUUGUGUGAGGUGGUUUAUGUUCUUUGAUUGUUUAUUCUUCAUUUGUUGUUGUUGUUUUUACGUGUAACCAGUCACUUUUACGUAGAAGUGAGGAAAUGUUGUGAGCAAACUCAAAUCUUGUGAAAUGUGAUUUCUUACUGAUGCUGAAGGCUAGUGAAGGGGUGUGUGUGUGUGUGUGUGUGAGUGAGUGAGUGAGUGUGUGUGUGUGUCUGUGUGUGUGUGUUGGUGAACCACUGGCAGAUAUGUUUGUGUGUGCGUGUGUGUUUGUGUGUGUGAGUGAGUGAGUGAGUGAGUGAACCAGUGACAGAAAUGUUCUGCAUGUUGAAACAGUUUCUUUGAUGUGAUUAGUUUCUGUGCGAUGUCAUUGACAAAAACUCCAUGGAUCUUGUGAAUAAAGAAAAGUUUUGGAGGAUAUUGUC
rnacentral:lncRNA from 1 species